CCUUGGGAGGUAACCCUAGGGAUUCUGAUGUUGGGCUUAGGGGUGAGACUUUCCUGCCCGAUAAAUUUUGCUCCACAAUGGACUUAGAUGACCUCAGUAUGCUUAGGGUCCAGUUUGGCAUUCCCUUUGAGUUUGAUUUAGAGCUCUCGAGUCCAACUGGUAGGAUAUGCAAUCUCCCUCCUGGCCGGCUCACUUGGUACGAGAAGUUGUUCUGAGUUGGUUUUAAACUCCCCCUCCCUCCUUUCAUCAUUGAGUUUUUUCUCACUUUUGGUAUGGCUUUAGGUUCAAUGGCCCUGAACUUUUGGCGUUUCCUUAUCGACUUUCUAGCGGCCUACUUCUUAGCGAAGAUUGAGCCAUUUGUCUACUUAUUUCGAUCUUUCUACACUUUCAAAAAGCUUUCUUAUUUUGAUGACUGAUUGUAUCUUUCUCUCCAAAAGGAGGUUCGUGUCUUGAUCCAAGAUGCCCCUUCAUCCAUUCAUAGUUGGAAAGAGUGCUUCCUUUACAUCUUUUGCUCGGGCAUAGGAGAUUGUAGCUUCACUAGCUAGGGCCGAUCUAGAGAGUCUAACAUCCAAGCUCUUGAGUUGGGGGAUGCAGACUGACAGUGCUUCAAUAUGCUGGUGAGCAUAAAAUUUCAGAACUAUCAAAGUUAUUGUUGGAGCAGACUCUUUCUAACA
rnacentral:lncRNA from 1 species